GUGGUUGCCGGGCGGGGGCUCUCUAUUAGUGGUGUGCAGAGGCUUUCGCUGAGGCUGCUGUUAGACUGUAGAGUUUCCCCCUGGGCCACGGAGCUGG
rnacentral:pre_miRNA from 1 species